UUAAAGUUGUUAUAAAUAUAUUGUUGUAAAUAAAUAAAUUUACAAUUCAUUCUCAAUUCCCAAAAAAUCAUUGUAAGAGGUUGUCAAUAUUGUCCCUAAAGUAAUCUAAUUUGAUCCAAUGUUGAAAGACCAUCUAAAUGUAAUGUCUUAAGACUCGACUCCAUUGAUGUGAAAUAUUUUUCCACAAGGAUGGCUAAUAUNNNNNNNNNNNNNNNNNNNNNNNNNNNNNNNNNNNNNNNNNNNNNNNNNNNNNNNNNNNNNNNNNNNNNNNNNNNNNNNNNNNNNNNNNNNNNNNNNNNNUUUAAUCUAUGUACUAGUGUUAUAUAAGUGUUGGGAUUAAAUCCAUUAUUUAUUCCCUAACUGCGUAUUCAGAUUGAUACCUAGCCCAAUUAUAGAUUUUGCACACCCCCAAGCAAUCCAAAUGCCACAGUUAACUCAGCCUUUAUCCACAUUAAGCACCAGCUACUAUGAAAAACUACCCUUACUGCAAAUAACAACAUAAAGAACCCAAUUAAUAAUUUAUAUCUUAGAAUGUUAGAACAACGAUACAAAAGAAGAAUAGGGGAACAAGCAACUCAUAUCUUUUCUCUUAUUUCUUCCUCUCUCCAGAAGAGGGAAGAGAGACGCCCACCCCCACCCCCCCCCACCCAAAAAAAAAACCAAAACGGAUGCCUCUCCCCAAAAAAACUAAUAGAUUCAAAUUACAAAUGACCAAUUGAAAAUCUGGUCAUCUCUCAUUUUCAUUUACGAUCAAAUCAUAUAAUUAAUUCUUUUUUUUUUUUCCUUUUGGGGGUAUGGGUCCCAAUUGUGAUUACUAAGCUAGUCUUACACAAUAUAACACAGUGAAUAAUUUUUUUUUGUAUAUCGGAUUAAUACUUUUUUGUCCAUUUGAACCGAAAAAAAAUCACUUUCCAUGACAAGUCAAUUCUGAUUCAUGGAGGCCAAUACCUUUUAUCUCCAUUUAACACUGAAAGUUUUGCAAAUUAUCAAAUGGUUCUAUAGACAAAAUACAAGUAAAAUUUAUAGAGUCCACUUCUAUAGCCUCUUAAACCCUACCACCCACGUAAGAGGAUGGGACCUCAAUAGGGCAUCAUUUGUUUGAGAAAUAUUAUUCAUGGUUUUGCGAUCUUAAUCAAGCUUCAAUUAUGCUAUUUUUCAUGUUACAUUUCGCAGUGUAGUGCCGUCUUCCCAACCUGCUUUUAGUUUGGGCGGGGAAUGCUUAUGGAGUUUACAAUUGCUAAAACGCAUCAAUUAAUGACUAAAAACUGGUCGAAGAAUUUGAAAAACCUCGAUAAGAAAGCAUCUGAAUUGGUACACGCAAGAUGAUAUUGAUGCAAAAUUGAGCGAGAAAAGCCCGCUAUAAAAGCAUACCACAACCAAAAUGCCCCCGAAGAAAUGGAAAAAGAUGUUGUGAGAUGAAAACAAAUAUGCUGAUCAUAAAGUCAGAAGUUCGAAUUUUAAAAUAAAUGCCUCAUAGGAUUUAUUUCCCUAAAAACUUUAAUUGUAACGUAAUAACUUGGUGAAGGCUAUAUGUUAACACAAAAUGAUCUGAUAAAGAGGUUGAAGAACUCACUUAAAGAGAUCUAAAAUUUGAAAUUAAGGAGAAAAGGGCUUUCUCACUGAUUCAACACAGCCAACCUACACUGUUGGAAUAGCUUAGUUGACCAGAUUCACUGACAAGCUUCAGGCAGCCUCUAACCGUUGAGAAGGUACUAGAUAAAAUUUCGAUACAAGAACCACAUCUCCGAAAAAGGAUGAAUUUGGGUAAAAUGGGCGGGAAAUAUGCAGCAACUGUUAGGCAGCUCUUGAUAAUCCAGGAAUACACAACCAUAAAUACCCACAUGUUUGAUUUUGUCAUAUGGGUGGACCUUCCUCAAAUCUUGGACGCAUUAAGAAAGGUAACAGAGGAAGUUGGGCACGUUUAUCAUGAAACUAAAAAAUGAAUCACCGCAGGUUUCUUUGUAAUUUUUAGAGAAACUUGACGGCAGAAAUAUUUGUUGCUUUUUACCGAUGUUUUUGGGAGAAAAGUUUGGCUUUAAGUGUUGUAGGGUUCCCAAAUGCCCAUCAAGUAAAGGGUGUGGAAAGUUUUGUUUUGGACAACCACCAGAAAAUUUGAAGUUGUCGGAAUGAUGGAAACUGAUGAUGAAGAUGCAAAGUGGAAGGUUUAAACCUGAAAAAGAGCUUGAAUGUUCAACUACUAAAAGUGGAAUGUUGUCAGAGAACUCAACUAUUAAACAAGCAGGCUAAGAAUAGGUCAAAAAGUGUGGGGCUUGCCGCUUGCACUUAUUGUUGUUGUUUGGCGCUUUAAAGACGAAAACUCAUGCAAUUUUUGGAGGCAGUUCUCAAGUGACUUAAAGUCACCAGCAGAAAGGGCUUCGAUAUAAAGACAUUGAAAAGACGUUUCAAGCCUUCAAAGUUACUGAGUGACUGCUUACCGACAUUGAGAAAACUGUCUUUUGUUUUGAUUGACAGUAUCCAAUCCGGAGAUACAAGAUUGAGAAAUCUGAAUUGAUAUGUUAUGGAAAAAAAGAGCGAGGGCUCUUUUAGGUAAACUUACUUUGGCACCAGCACUUGUUAAGGGAGAUGCAAUUUGGAGAACUUAUAGAUGCAUCUUUGUUGGAAAAGUGUGAUGGAUAUUAUGCUGAUGAUAUUCUGCAAUGACUGUGGUGGAAGAUUGCAUGAUUGAUUCGAGACUUGGUGUUGGCAUGACUUCCCCCAAAAGGAGAGGAGUGCAUACACAUGGUAACAUCUGGAACUUCUACGGUACGAUGCCAGAGGAUGAGGAAUGGGAAAAGGCAACAAGAAUUUCGUUUAUGGAUAACCAAACACUUGAGCAAUUUGUCGGAAUCGCCUACUGCCCAUGCCUCUUGACAUUACUCACUUCUAGGUUGUUUCUAACCUAAAGUUGUUCCAGAAAUCUUUCUUCUUUCUCGACACAGAUGCAGACUCCAUGUCUUGGAUCUAUUCGCACAUUUGUAUCAAUUCUUUGGCCGUGCCGGUUUCGAUAUCUAAAUAGUCCACUCCUCGUGACUACUUCUGAACAUUGCCUCCAAUUUGAAUGUUCUCCCUGUGGAGCUAGAGACCUCAAGUCCUUGAGGUGUUGAAGUCCACAGAGAAUCCCAGUUGAUUGUUCGCGCCGAGUUCAUUUGAUUUUGAACUACCAAUCUUUAAAAGAUUGGAGUAAAGAUGUGAGACAGGAUUCGGAUGCCAUUUUGUUGAAAGUGGCAGGCAAGUUCUUGUUUCCUGGGUUGAUAAGCAAAGACAAUCUCAGAUGAAAAUUUUUAUGUUCCAAACUUUUUUAAAGACUUUGGGUUAAGUGUAAGUGAAGAUAUUGUCCGCCCGUGAAUUAAGCAGCUUUAGUUUCACUUUCUCUUUCUUCUUCAAACUUAUAUUAAGUUUUCGCUUACCGUAAGUAAUCUCCAAUAUUUCCUUCAAAUAGCAGAUCUGGAGGAGAGAACAUAAUGGAAUUCAGGUUUUUGUAUUGUCCAGAGAGGUGGGGAUGGGUUUUUUGAGAGGUAUCCAGAAAAAUUUAAAUUAUAAAGGAGGACUAGGAUAAGAAUCAUAGCAUCUUCUUGCCUUGGCAAUAGAGGAUGUACUCAUGUCGUUCGGGAUUUUUUGAACUAGUAAAGUGGGGCCAUGAUGAACUUACGAACCCUAUGCCGAUUGGGUACACAAAACCUCGGCGAUUAAAGUAUGCGUUGCGAUAAAUGCUUGAAAAUGUUGUGAAUGGAACUGGCUAAAAUGGAUGCUUUCGGAAAUUAGAAAUUUUAAUCAUUGAGUCAUCUGAGGGGACUUUGGAGUGCAUUCUUGAGAUGGAAGGACCAACCACGCACACUGUCACCGUUGCCAACAGCUUUACCAAUCUGAGACGGUUGAGAGUAGAUAAUGCCCAAUGUUAACAUGUCUCUCAAAUAGAUUCGUGAUUCACAACUAUCCAGUGGAAUUUGGCAUCGAUACUGUUUCUGGAGCUGGAGGGGAUGCUUCAGAGGAUGAGAAUGUUGAAUAUGAGGCUCUACCAAAAUUGAAAGAUUGUUGUUGUUUGGAUUUACUGAAUUUUGUUUAGUUUUUUUCAAGGUAUUGCCAUGUGUUGGAAAUCACUGAGCAGUGGCGAUUACCUAUUGGUUCGAAACUGAGGAAGACUCCCCUUGGAUCGUCAACAGCGCAACCAAUUUGUGAGGAGAUUCUAGUAACCAACCAGAAAGUUUUUGGGCUCAACGAGAGUGGGACCACAUGGCACCAAAAUACGCCUUUCAACCUCUGCUAGAGAAUUAUUUAGGAGAGCACACCUCUUUUUUUUCCCACCCACUAAAUUUCCGCUUUCCCAACCAACGCCCUUCUCAGCUUCUCAGUCUCGUGAGAGAGUCUUUGUGUAAGUUUCUAGACUUUGUUAUUGUUUGUGCAUAAGUUUUAUAAUAAGUUGUGUACUUUUGAGCUUUGUAAUUUUAAUAUUAAAAAAUGUUUUUUUUUAUGUCAGCUAAUUUAUUUACCUGUUGAAUUUCCAGUAACAUAAAUAUCUCAAUUUAUUUUGGAGUGAUAUAUUUGUGCAGAGUGAUCAAGUAAAAAACGAAUUCACCUUGCUUUUUUUUUUAUAUUGUUAUGUUUUUUUAUUUGAUGCGAGUGAUUAAUUUCCAAUCAACUGCAACGGUAUUUUUUUGUUGGAGUCUCAGGCUUGACUACCUGUGCCUGUUGGUUGGUUUGGUAUGUAAAAAAUAUUUUAAAAAAAAACAAAACUUUGGAAAAAUGCAAUCGGGGGAUCAGAUUUUCAUUUUUUUUCCUAUUAACGUAAACUGUCUUUGGUUAUAUUUGGGCCAAUGAUUUAUGGAUAAAUUUUGUUUAAGCAUUAAAGAAAAUAUUAAAGUUGAACUAUUGGAUCUACGCUGACGCGUGCAGAUAAGCUAGCGUCCGACUCUGAGAAACUCCCCUUGAUGUCAUAGCGCACCAUUUGAAGCAGAUUCAAUUAGCAACAGAAAUUUUUGGGAUGCACCUAGAGUGGGAAAACAAUGCCACCAAACUACGUGCCUUGAAUCUCGUGACCUAUCGCUUUUGGUGAACGAGAGUGAAAUUCUCGUUGAUGAUAGCCUAAUUAGACUAUGACAUCUUUUUCCAUACCCACUAAAUUAUCUUUUCAACCCCUUCUCAUCGCGUCCGAGAGAGCUGAUUUUAUUUGUUUUUGCAUAAGUUUAUAAUAGGUUGUGUACCUUUGGAGUUUUUGUAUUUUAGUUUAAACUAUUUUUAUUUUUUAUUAUGUCCAACCAAAUUUUAUUUACAUGUUUGAAAUUUCUUAUUCUAAAUAAAUCUCAUCACUUUUAUUUGGAGUGCAUAUGUGUGUCAGAGUGAUCAAGUAAUCAAUAACUAAGAAUUCCACCUUGACUUUUUUUUUUUUUCCUUAUCUAUUAUUGUUAUGAUGUUUUUUUUAUUUUGACACAAAAUGAUUCAAGCUGAACUACUUGUGCAUGGUUGGUUGUUGGUAGGUAAAAAAUUUACAAACUUUCGAAAAAUGUACUUGAGUAUUCAGACUUUCAUUUAUUUUCCUAUUAGUGUGUCUCUUGGUUAUAUUUGGGCAUGGAUUAUGGAGAAAUUUAUUUAAGAAAAAUAAAAUUAACGCAGAAAUAUUUAAAUUUGAACCAUUGUAAUCUAUUAGCUUUUUCUUUCCUUUUUUAUUUUCCUCUCCAAAUCCUAAAAUCCAACAACGGUCCCCCGAAAGUAUAUUUAUGCAAUUCUUUCUUUCCUGAUUUUUGGUUCAAAGAUUUAGUUAGAAAAAAAAUUAAAAGAAAAAAAAAUUUAAAAGAUUUAAACGUCAAAAAAAGGUUAUAUCGCUUUUUAAUUUCUUUUAGUUUCCUGGAGAUUUUCUAUUUUCUUCAUCAUUUUCAAAAAGUGAAUUUUUUUGCUUGAGAAAAUCAUUUAGUCCCGCGGAAUUAGAAAUACAAAAUGUUUUAAAUUCAAAGUGAAUAAUUAGACUAACUUGAGAGAGUGAAUUCCACAUACUAACGUGAAUCGAUUAAUUCAUUUUGAAUUAUAUAAAAAUAUUCGGGUUAAAUUGUGAGACCGUAGCAGUAUUAUGUUUCUUACUAGAUCUAAAUGAUUUUGUUUUUGGUGAUUUGCUCUUAAUAAUUGCAUAAAAUUGGAUUGGGUCCUAAUCUCUCUGUAGAGAGUUUCUGGAUUUAAUAUAUGAAACUUAUUAAAUACCGCUAACAUUAACUAAAGAAAUCUUAACGAUAAGAAAGAGUGUCAACAAAGUUUUUCAAAGUUAAAACAUUUGGGAAUUUUUUUUAAUACUUUCCAUAAAGAAAUACUCUGUUGCCAUAUUUAACAUUUUUUGUGUUUCCUUUUGUUAAAAAGAAAAAAUAAAAACAAUUAGUAAACUCGUUUGGUAACAAAGUGUUUAAAAUAUAUUUUGUAAAUAAAGGAAUGUGUCCGUAGGGGCCACCGAAGGAAGGGAGUCAUGACGGAGGUGUCAGAGGUGUAGGAGAUCCAUUGGAGUGCUACCUCCUACCGGAGGAGGUGGCCAGAGUGCGGGAAUUGUCAUAAUAGUUGCCACAUAUCUUGGCCAAAGGUGGGAAGGAGAAGGAUAGAAUGAAAAUUUGUUUCUGUAAAUGAUGAACAUAUUUUAUUCACUUUCAAAAUUUUUGAAAAUUUUAAAUUGUUACCAUCUUUUGAAGAGACAACAUGAUCACAUUCUUGAAACUUUUAAACCAGAGAUCAGUAAAAGAAGUUUAAAAAAAAAUCUUGCCAUUUAAAAAUCAGCCUAGCCAUCAAUUUCACAAAUGUCCAUUUUUGCCCUUAGGAAAUGUUAUUUUGGUGAGAACAAAAAAUUAUUUUGUGAAAGAAUAUGAGACACUUUCAUUUUAUUACUUUUAUGAAUACGAACUAUACAGAUAGUGAGAAACCAUAAUAUUUUCUUUUUAUUCAUUAAAAUAAGAUUGUAAAAAUCAAAAUAAUUAAUUUUUUUAUCAAUCUCUAGUUGAAAAAUGACACUUCUUCUUUUUUUACUCACCUAUCACUUCCACUAGAAUGUAAACAACACGCUCACACCAAGUUUAAAGCUCAAACGUAUAAGACAACACACACCCCAACGCUGUAAUACAAACAAUUCUCCAAGUCCAAAAUCGUAUAGAAACUUAAUUUUCACAAUUAGAAUAAUCAAUAUAAACUUUACCAAGAAUCACACCUCCAAGUCCAAAUCAAAUCUCUCUCCGGGUGGCUUUCACUCUUGUAUUUUCGCCUCUCUCUCUCUCUCACUCUCUCUCUUCUCUCUCUCUGCUUUUUAUUACUUCUAUUUAAUCUCUCCAUAAGAGUAUAUAAGAUAUAUUCAUACUUUAUAUUAUACAUAUACACAUUAUUAGAUCAACACACUAGCAAGCGUAAAGACAUGUAAGUACGACACUGUACCCGUCUAACCAUUAUACACUUUUUUGUGGUCUGUCAACUUAAAAUAUCUUUUAAUCACACAUUAGUUUCAAAGAUUUAUACUUGAACCCGCACAAUUUUUUUAAUUAUGCA
rnacentral:lncRNA from 1 species